rnacentral:lncRNA from 1 species
UCCAUCUUUUUGCCACGUAUUGCCGGCCCCCAUACGUACUCAACCCUAUAAAUCAAACCCUUACAUUUCAGAGUUGAAUCGUUUAAGAAAAAAUGCCAGACCAUCCACCACCACCACACGGCGGCCACGGUCACGCACCACCCCCAGGUCCGGGACACCACGAGCCUCCUCCGCCCCAUGGCCAUGCUCCUCCUCCGGGGCCUCAUGCACCUCCUCCGGGACCCCAUGCACCUCCUCCGGGACCCCAUGCACCUCCUCCGGAACCCCAUGCACCUCCUCCGGGACCCCAUGCACCUCCUCAUGAUCCACACAAGCCACAUGACUGUCACCACGGUCACCACCACCCAUGAACCGAACUAGUCAUGAGGCCACGAUCGAGAAGCUAGUCUCAGCAAGUUGUUAUCUAUUUAUCUUUGUGCCUGUAAUGUGAUCUAGCUGCGGUUGUAGUUCUGAGUUGCUGGGUUUACUGGCUUUGCUCCAUUGAUCUCAUCGUUAUGUAAUGACUAAAAUAUGAGGACUAUGUAUGUAUCCAAAAGAAGGCUGAUCAUAUAUGUAUAAUAAGAAGAGUACUGGCUUUGUGGUUUAUGUAUAAUCCGCUUGUGUAAAACUUCUUCUUUUAUCCGUCUAAAUGUGAUGUAUAAUCAGAAAAUAUGGCCAGUUUGUCAUCUUGACCAACCUGAACUUACAAACUAAUUAAUUAAGUCAAUCUCCCCAAUUUCAUCAAUCUUCAUUAGGAUUUCAUCACUAGCUCAUUCCUUCACAGAUAAUUAACCAUUUGCUCGAUUGCUCUUAACAAACUGUAAUAGCCAAGAGGCAAACGCAUCCAUCUAAAUUCUAAAAAGUUAUUAACACAGGCUAGGGGUAAAUUAUCCUUUGUUCAGACCAAUCUCACAGUUGAAGCGAUGAAUUGGCUAAAACAAAAGCCUACGGGCAGAAAAACAAAGCAUCUCUAUUCGUACGGAAGAAUGACUUCCAUAUAUAGUAAGCCUUAUAGUUAUAACACCGUAAGUGUAUAAGAAUAGGAAUUCAUAAACGCAAUAAGAAGAAGACCGUGAAAGAGAUCGAAGAUUAAAGCAGGCCUUAAUGUCUUGUAUAUUCUGUACAAAAUUUCAACAGCCAGAUUUUCUCGAUGCAUUCGUCAGCUUCUGUUUGUAACCUUUCUUCUGUCAAAUCCUCCAUGGCUUUUCACGAGCAAUAAUUCUUGCAAGGUCCCAUUAACAAGCCUCACGUACGUUGUUCUUAUCUCCUUUUCCUUAGCUCACCAAGAAUUCAACUAUUACCAAGUGCAGCAACUAGUUUCUGUGAUCGAUCUACGGAAAGUUAAAGUUAUUGCUCAAAAGAGAAAGAGAAAACGGAAGUUAAAGUUCCAUGCUGCCCUAGUUCAAGUACGCACUCAGUUAUGAUCUUGUGGUUCUUACAAUGGAUGAAUGGAUGAAGCAUUACCACACAAAUACUCAGAAGAGAAAAACAAAACAACCACAGUGCACGAUUAACAUGCUAGCUAGCUUUCAUUGUGUGCAAAUAUCCUGAGCUACCAUUCCACCAAAACAAGCUAAAUAAGUUUAUCCUUGUAUGGAUAUUAUGUGAAUCGAAAUAAUUGUAUAUUUGAUUCUUAGAUAUUAUGUGGCACCUAUUACAACGAAGCAUGUGCCAUAUUCUGAAGAUAAUGUCGACACAUCUGAAUCAUCUAGAGCCCGUACCGACACCUUUCUCCUAUAAAAUCAACUCCUACUAGCUUAAACUCUUCAACAGUUCGCCACAUCAAGAACAACUUUCUUUUUGUUUAUACAAGCUAGUAGUCUCACCAAGAAUUCGAAGAUGCAUCACGGUGAUCAUCACGGCGGACCACCACACCACGGAGGAGGUCCGGGAGGAGGUCCGGGAGGUCCAGGAGGCGGCCCUCAACAUGGUCAUGGUCAUCAAGGAGCUCCGGGAGGAGGGCAUGGAGGACCAGGAGGAGGAGGGCAUGGAGGGCAAGGAGGAGGAGGACACGGAGGACCAGGAGGAGGAGGACAUGGAGGAGGAGGAGGAGGAGGACGAGGGGGGAGGAGGAGGACAUGGAGGAGGAGGAGGAGGAGGACGAGGGAGGAGGAGGAGGAGGACAUGGAGGAGGAGGAGGACGACGGAGGGCAUGGUGGUCACUGAUCAUGGCGCUAGACUACGUAUACUACUUGUGGUGUACUAGCUGGCUGAAUAAGUCUCUCUAUGUGACUUCUGUAGUAUUGUUUGUGUGUUAUCAUUUCCUAGUUGGGUCGAUCAGAUCCUAGAUAGUGAAGCUAGCUAGGGGAGUCGAUCUUGUGUUUGGAGUCUGUUAAUUAAUGUAUGUGUAUGGAUGUGUAAUAAAACCAUACUAGCUAUGUAUUUGAUUCGAGGCUUAACAUAUAUUGCAUGCAGCUAUAUAUAUAUAUAUAUAUAUAAUAUCCUUAGAUGACUAAGAACAUAAGAAACAGAGCAGUACUAUUGAUGAUUUACAAGAUUCAAUUUGUAUAAGUGAUCUUUGGCUUGUCCUAAUUAACCAUCAAGCAAAGCGCUAAGAACGAACAUAUUAUAUAUACUGCCAGAUGAUCAAGCAACUUUGCAGAGGGAUCAUGACGAAAUGUCCAUCUAGCAGCUUAAAUGCUUAAUUAGAACAAUUUUGCAAAACAAACACAAACUUGUAUAAUACGGUACCGAAAAUAUAAGUAUAACCGUUUGAAAUGUCAAGUUUAUCAAUCUUAUGAAAUCGAAGUAUCGUAAAUCGAUAAUGAUCUUCUUCAAAACUAGAACGAGAAUGUAACGUGUCUAUAUGACACUAUAAAUGUCUACGAAAUCAUGCGUUAAGAACAUAAUAUUAUAUUCCUUCGUUUUUUACUAAAGAAUAUCAUUACCGUUAAGCUUUAAUUGACAUACGUACGAUUGUACUUUGUAGUGAUACAUCUAAUUAUAUUGGUCGUGUGGUGCCCUUAGUAUAUUAAAAGGAAAAAACUAAAGAGACCAAAAGGCCCAAAGGAAACCACAGAAAUUGUCAUAAAGGUACAAGUGCAGCCCAACUUUCNNNNNNNNNNNNNNNNNNNNNNNNNNNNNNNNNNNNNNNNNNNNNNNNNNNNNNNNNNNNNNNNNNNNNNNNNNNNNNNNNNNNNNNNNNNNNNNNNNNNNNNNNNNNNNNNNNNNNNNNNNNNNNNNNNNNNNNNNNNNNNNNNNNNNNNNNNNNNNNNNNNNNGUCCUGAUCAUCACCUUCCUUGCCUAUGCUUCCUUCCACGCCUCCAGGAAGCCCCCCAGCAUCGUCAAGAGUGUUCUUGGCCCCAAACUCCUGUCCAAUUCGAGCUCUUUCGACACCGGUUGGGCUCCCUUUAAUGGCCCUGAUGGCACUCACAGGCUUGGAGAACUUGAUCUUGCAUUUCUAUCUGCAUAUUCUAUUGGAAUGUAUUUUGCAGGGCAUGUUGGUGAUAGGAUUGAUUUGAGGUUGUUUCUUGCUUAUGGGAUGUUAGGGAGUGGAGUUUUGACUUGUCUUUUCGGGUUAGGUUAUUGGUGCAAUGUGCAUAUGUUGUGGUACUUUGUGGGUGUGCAAGUUGUGUGUGGGUUGUUUCAGUCAAUAGGGUGGCCUUCUGUUGUGGCAGUUGUGGGGAAUUGGUUUAGGGUUUAGACAGCGGCCAUCACACGCCGGCCACGGUCACGCACCACCCCCAGGUCCGGGACACCACGAGCCUCCUCCGCCCCAUGGCCAUGCUCCUCCUCCGGGGCCUCAUGCACCUCCUUCGGGACCCCAUACACCUCCUCCGGAACCCCAUGCACCUCCUCCGGGACCCCAUGCACCUCCUCAUGAUCCACACAAGCCACAUGACCCGCACCACGGUCACCACCACCCAUGAACCGAACUAGUCAUGAGGGAUCACGAAGCUAGCUAGUCUCAGCAAGUUGUUAUCUAUUUCUGCCUGUAAUGUGAUCUAGCUGCGCUUGUAGUUCUGAGUUGCUGGGUUUACUGGCUUUGCUCCAUUGAUCUCAUCGUUAUGUAAUGACUAAAAUAUGAUGACUAUGUAUGUAUCCAAAAGAAGGCUGAUCAUAUAUGUAUAAUAAGAAGAGUACUGGCUUUCUGGUUUAUGUAUAAUCCGCUUGUGUAAAACUUCUUCUCUGUUAUCGGUCUAAAUGUGAUGUAUGAUCAGAAAAUAUGGUCAGUUUGUCCUCUUGACCAACCUUAACUUACAAACUAAUUAAGUCAAUCUCCCCAAUUUCAUCAAUCUUUAUUAGGAUUUCAUCACUCAUUCCUUCACAGAUAAUUAACCACACAUCCAAGCUGCAUUUGCUCGAUUGCUCUUAACAAACUGUAAUAAUUAACCAAGAGGCAAACGCAUCCAUCUAAAGUCUAAAAAUUAAGUUAUUAACACAAGGUUAAAUUAUCCAUUGUUCAGACCAAUCUCACAGUUAGAGCGAUGAAUUGGCUAAAACAAAAACCUACGGGAG